GCCCUGGUAGCUCAAUUGGCUAGAGCGUGGGACUUUUAUUGUGUCAUCUUAAACCUCCGAGAAAUGACGACAUGGGAUCCCAAGGUUGCGGGUUCGACCCCCGCCUGGGGCG